rnacentral:rRNA from 1 species
AUUGAACGCUGGCGGCAUGCCUUACACAUGCAAGUCGAACGGCAGCGGGGGAGAAGCUUGCUUUUCCUGCCGGCGAGUGGCGAACGGGUGAGUAAUACAUCGGAACGUGCCCUGUAGUGGGGGAUAACUAGUCGAAAGAUUAGCUAAUACCGCAUACGACCUGAGGGUGAAAGUGGGGGACCGCAAGGCCUCAUGCUAUAGGAGCGGCCGAUGUCUGAUUAGCUAGUUGGUGGGGUAAAGGCCUACCAAGGCGACGAUCAGUAGCUGGUCUGAGAGGACGAUCAGCCACACUGGGACUGAGACACGGCCCAGACUCCUACGGGAGGCAGCAGUGGGGAAUUUUGGACAAUGGCGAAAGCCUGAUCCAGCAAUGCCGCGUGUGUGAAGAAGGCCUUCGGGCUGUAAAGCACUUUUGUCCGGAAAGAAAUGGCUCUGGUUAAUACCUGGGGUCGAUGACGGUACCGGAAGAAUAAGGACCGGCUAACUACGUGCCAGCCGCCGCGGUAA